GAUGAACGCUGGCGGCGUGCCUAAUACAUGCAAGUCGAGCGAACAGACGAGGAGCUUGCUCCUCUGACGUUAGCGGCGGACGUGUGAGUAACACGUGUAUAACCUACCUAUAAGACGGGGAUAACUUCGGGAAACCGGAGCUAAUACCGGAUAAUAUAUUGAACCGCAGGGUUCAAUAGUGAAAGACGGUUUUGCUGUCACUUAUAGAUGGAUCCGCGCCGCAUUAGCGAGUUGGUAAGGUAACGACUUACCAAGGCAACGAUGCGUAACCGACCUGAGAGGGUGAUCGGCCACACUGGAACUGAGACACGGUCCAGACUCCUACGGGAGGCAGCAGUCGGGAAUCUUCCGCAAUGGGCGAAAGCCUGACGGAGCAACGCCGCGUGAGUGAUGAAGGUCUUCGGAUCGUAAAACUCUGUUAUUAGGGAAGAACAAAUGUGUAAGUAACUAUGCACGUCUUGACGGUACCUAAUCAGAAAGCCACGGCUAACUACGUG
rnacentral:rRNA from 1 species